rnacentral:rRNA from 1 species
GGGUUGUGAGGUUAAGCGACCAAGCGUACACGGUGGAUGCCCUGGCAGUCAGAGGCGAUGAAGGACGUGCUAAUCUGCGAAAAGCGCCGGUAAGGUGAUAUGAACCGUUAUAACCGGCGAUGUCCGAAUGGGGAAACCCAGUGUGACUCGUCACACUAUCAUUAACUGAAUCCAUAGGUUAAUGAGGCGAACCGGGGGAACUGAAACAUCUAAGUACCCCGAGGAAAAGAAAUCAACCGAGAUUCCCCCAGUAGCGGCGAGCGAACGGGGAAGAGCCCAGAGCCUGAAUCAGCAUGUGUGUUAGUGGAAGCGUCUGGAAAGGCGCGCGAUACAGGGUGACAGCCCCGUACACAAAAGCGCACAUGCUGUGAGCUCGAUGAGUAGGGCGGGACACGUGGUAUCCUGUCUGAAUAUGGGGGGACCAUCCUCCAAGGCUAAAUACUCCUGACUGACCGAUAGUGAACCAGUACCGUGAGGGAAAGGCGAAAAGAACCCCGGCGAGGGGAGUGAAACAGAACCUGAAACCGUGUACGUACAAGCAGUGGGAGCCUCUCUUUAUGGGGGGUGACUGCGUACCUUUUGUAUAAUGGGUCAGCGACUUAUAUUCUGUAGCAAGGUUAACCGCAUAGGGGAGCCGAAGGGAAACCGAGUCUUAAUUGGGCGUUAAGUUGCAGGGUAUAGACCCGAAACCCGGUGAUCUAGCCAUGGGCAGGUUGAAGGUUGGGUAACACUAACUGGAGGACCGAACCGACUAAUGUUGAAAAAUUAGCGGAUGACCUGUGGCUGGGGGUGAAAGGCCAAUCAAACCGGGAGAUAGCUGGUUCUCCCCGAAAGCUAUUUAGGUAGCGCCUCGUGAAUUCAUCUCCGGGGGUAGAGCACUGUUUCGGCUAGGGGGCCAUCCCGGCUUACCAACCCGAUGCAAACUGCGAAUACCGGAGAAUGUUAUCACGGGAGACACACGGCGGGUGCUAACGUCCGUCGUGAAGAGGGAAACAACCCAGACCGCCAGCUAAGGUCCCAAAGUCAUGGUUAAGUGGGAAACGAUGUGGGAAGGCCCAGACAGCCAGGAUGUUGGCUUAGAAGCAGCCAUCAUUUAAAGAAAGCGUAAUAGCUCACUGGUCGAGUCGGCCUGCGCGGAAGAUGUAACGGGGCUAAACCAUGCACCGAAGCUGCGGCAGCGACACUUUAGUGUUGUUGGGUAGGGGAGCGUUCUGUAAGCCGUUGAAGGUGUCCUGUGAGGGGUGCUGGAGGUAUCAGAAGUGCGAAUGCUGACAUAAGUAACGAUAAAGCGGGUGAAAAGCCCGCUCGCCGGAAGACCAAGGGUUCCUGUCCAACGUUAAUCGGGGCAGGGUGAGUCGACCCCUAAGGCGAGGCCGAAAGGCGUAGUCGAUGGGAAACGGGUUAAUAUUCCCGUACUUGGUGUUACUGCGAAGGGGGGACGGAGAAGGCUAUGUUGGCCGGGCGACGGUAGUCCCGGUUUAAGCGUGUAGGCUGGUUUUCCAGGCAAAUCCGGAAAAUCAAGGCUGAGGCGUGAUGACGAGGCACCACGGUGCUGAAGCAACAAAUGCCCUGCUUCCAGGAAAAGCCUCUAAGCAUCAGGUAACAUCAAAUCGUACCCCAAACCGACACAGGUGGUCAGGUAGAGAAUACCAAGGCGCUUGAGAGAACUCGGGUGAAGGAACUAGGCAAAAUGGUGCCGUAACUUCGGGAGAAGGCACGCUGACACGUAGGUGAAGUGAUUUACUCAUGGAGCUGAAGUCAGUCGAAGAUACCAGCUGGCUGCAACUGUUUAUUAAAAACACAGCACUGUGCAAACACGAAAGUGGACGUAUACGGUGUGACGCCUGCCCGGUGCCGGAAGGUUAAUUGAUGGGGUCAGCGCAAGCGAAGCUCCUGAUCGAAGCCCCGGUAAACGGCGGCCGUAACUAUAACGGUCCUAAGGUAGCGAAAUUCCUUGUCGGGUAAGUUCCGACCUGCACGAAUGGCGUAAUGAUGGCCAGGCUGUCUCCACCCGAGACUCAGUGAAAUUGAACUCGCUGUGAAGAUGCAGUGUACCCGCGGCAAGACGGAAAGACCCCGUGAACCUUUACUAUAGCUUGACACUGAACAUUGAGCCUUGAUGUGUAGGAUAGGUGGGAGGCUUUGAAGCGUGGACGCCAGUCUGCGUGGAGCCGACCUUGAAAUACCACCCUUUAAUGUUUGAUGUUCUAACGUGGACCCGUAAUCCGGGUUGCGGACAGUGUCUGGUGGGUAGUUUGACUGGGGCGGUCUCCUCCUAAAGAGUAACGGAGGAGCACGAAGGUUGGCUAAUCCUGGUCGGACAUCAGGAGGUUAGUGCAAUGGCAUAAGCCAGCUUGACUGCGAGCGUGACGGCGCGAGCAGGUGCGAAAGCAGGUCAUAGUGAUCCGGUGGUUCUGAAUGGAAGGGCCAUCGCUCAACGGAUAAAAGGUACUCCGGGGAUAACAGGCUGAUACCGCCCAAGAGUUCAUAUCGACGGCGGUGUUUGGCACCUCGAUGUCGGCUCAUCACAUCCUGGGGCUGAAGUAGGUCCCAAGGGUAUGGCUGUUCGCCAUUUAAAGUGGUACGCGAGCUGGGUUUAGAACGUCGUGAGACAGUUCGGUCCCUAUCUGCCGUGGGCGCUGGAAGACUGAGGGGGGCUGCUCCUAGUACGAGAGGACCGGAGUGGACGCAUCACUGGUGUUCGGGUUGUCAUGCCAAUGGCACUGCCCGGUAGCUAAAUGCGGAAAAGAUAAGUGCUGAAAGCAUCUAAGCACGAAACUUGCCCCGAGAUGAGUCUUCCCUGAGACUUUGAGUCUCCUGAAGGAACGUUAAAGACGAUGACGUUGAUAGGCCGGGUGUGUAAGCGCAGCGAUGCGUUGAGCUAACCGGUACUAAUGAACCGUGAGGCUUAACCUUACAACGCCGAAGCUGUU